rnacentral:rRNA from 1 species
GUGAACGCUGGCGGUAGGCCUAACACAUGCAAGUCGAACGGCAGCACCGUAAGAGCUUGCUCUUACGGGUGGCGAGUGGCGGACGGGUGAGGAAUACAUCGGAAUCUACUUUUUCGUGGGGGAUAACGUAGGGAAACUUACGCUAAUACCUCAUACGACCUACGGGUGAAAGCAGGGGAUCUUCGGACCUUGCGCGAUUGAAUGAGCCGAUGUCGGAUUAGCUAGUUGGCGGGGUAAAGGCCCACCAAGGCGACGAUCCGUAGCUGGUCUGAGAGGAUGAUCAGCCACACUGGAACUGAGACACGGUCCAGACUCCUACGGGAGGCAGCAGUGGGGAAUAUUGGACAAUGGGCGCAAGCCUGAUCCAGCCAUACCGCGUGGGUGAAGAAGGCCUUCGGGUUGUAAAGCCCUUUUGUUGGGAAAGAAAAGCAGCAGGUUAAUACCCCGCUGUUCUGACGGUACCCAAAGAAUAAGCACCGGCUAACUUCGUG